UUUUUUUUUUUUUUUGCUGUGAUGUACAGUGGGGGGUCUCAGUUCCCAGACCAGGCAUGAACCCGGGCCAUAGCCACUAGACCACCAGGGAACUCCCUUAGGUACAUUCUUUCAUUCUUUUUGUUCUUUUUUUUUUUCCUUAGAUACAUUCGUAAAUUUUUUUUUAUCAAGGUGAAUUUCACAUAACUCAAAACUAACCAUUUUAUUUACCUAUUUUUUAUUUUUUUGCCUUUUUUUUUUUUUAAGGGCCUAGUCAGCAGCAUAUGGAAGUUCCUGGACUAGGGGUCAAAUCAGAUCUGCAGCUGCCAGCCUAUACCACAGCCACAGCAGCAACAAAUAUGAGCCACAUCUUCGACCUGCACCACAACUCACAGCAACCAAUGCCAGAUCCUUAAUUCACUGAACAAAGCCAGGAAUCAAACUUGCAUGGAUACUAGUUGGGUUCAUUUCUGCUGAGCCACAACGGGAAGUCCCAAAUUAACCUUUUUUUUUUUUUAAGGGCUGCACUCUCAGCAUGUGGAGAGGUUUCCAUGCUAGGGGUCUAAUCGGAGCUACAGCUGUUGGCCUGUGCCACAGCAAUGCCAGAGCUAAGCAGCGUCUGUGACCUACACCACAGCUCACAGCAACGCUGGAUCCUUAACCUACUGAUCGAGGCCAGGGAUCGAACCUGCAACCUCAUGGCUCCUAGUGGGAUUCGCUUCUGCUGCUUCAUCAUGGGAACUCCCAAAUUAACCAUUUUAAAGUGAAUAAUUCAGUGGCAUUUAGUACAUUCACAUUGUUGUGCACCCACCAUCCAGCUCCAAAAUGUAUUCAUCACCACAAGGAAAUCUCAUUUCUCUCACGCAGCUCCUUCCCGUUGCCCGCUCUCCCCAGUUCCUCGUCCUUUGCAGGUGACGGUGUUCACAGGGUGUUUUGAGGCGUGGGGUAAUGCAGUCGUCUAAUCCUGUGGUACAGGGUUGGAAUUGAAGAAACCAGCAAGAAGUUCAAGAAGCAGUGGUGCUUUGAGCCAAGCCUUAGAGAUAGGAGUUUUCCCUGUGUUUCUGAUUUUAGGGUGUUUAUUACCUUUUUUUUUUUUUGGGUCUUUUUAGGACCCCUCAGCAAUGCCAGAUCUGAGCCUUGUCUUGGACCUACACCACAGCUCAUGGCAAUGCCGGGUCCUUAGCCCACUGAGCGAGGCCAGGGAUGGAACAUGCACCCUCAUGGUUCCUAGUCGGAGUCUUUAACCACUGCACCACGACAGGAACUCCAGUGUAGCCAUUAUUUAAAUUUAAGUUUAUUAAAAUCAAAUAAAUGGAGAGUUCAGUUCUGUCCCAUUAGCCACAUUUCAGGUGCUCAGUAGAUGUCUGUAGACACUGUGCUGGACUGCGCAGAAUCGAACAUCUCCAUUUUCCCAGAGGGCACUGCUGGGCAGCUGUGACCUCGAGGUUCUGAUGAAGUGAAAGCUUUGUUCUUUUUAACUUCUGUACUGCUUCUGGAUUCUGCUGCUUUAAUCAAGGUACCUGGUGAAAUGUAUAUUGGAACAGCUGAUAAAUAUUAAGAUGGAUUUGUGCUGAAUUCCUCUAGUGGAGUAUUUGUGAAAAUACUGCUGUUAGGGUAUUCAAAGUUAGGCUUCUUGAGAAAGCAGGUAGAAAUUGAAAGCAUAGAAGAGCUUUGUUUUUUGAGGCGGUUAUCUAGUACCUAGUUAACGAAAAGGAUGAUGAAGCUGUACAGCUAUGUUGAAGAUAAGUGUAGGACUUAAAAAAUCAACAGUAUGAAGGCUCAGCAUUGUUUCUAAAGAUUAGGUUCACAUUUAUUAUUAUUUUUUAAUUUUUAAUUUUUUUAAAUUUUUUUUGUCUUUUUUUUUGCUAUUUCUUGGGCCGCUCCCGUGGCACGUGGAGGUUCCCAGGCUAGGGGUCGAAUCAGAGCUGUAGCCACAGGCCUACGCCAGAGCCACAGCAACGCGGGAUCCGAGCCGCGUCUGCAACCUACACCACAGCUCACGGCAACGCUGGAUCGUUAACCCACUGAGCAAGGGCAGGGAUCGAACCCGCAACCUCAUGGUUCCUAGUCGGAUUUGUUAAGCACUGCGCCACGACGGGAACUUCCAAGAUUAGGUUUUUAAAAACAGCCUUAUGAGGUAUAAUUGACUUAAAAUAAGCUCUGCAUAUUUAAUGUGUACAAUUAUACGUCAGUGAGGCUGCUCGAAGCCCUGCUGCUUCCUGCUGCUGCUGUUCAGUCUUUUCUCUUUUGUUUUGGAUGCUUUCUAUUGCUUUACCUUUAAGUUUGCUAAUAUUUUCUUUUGCAAUGUCCAGUCUGCUCUUAAUACAUUGUAUGUAGUAUAUUUUUCAUCUCAGACAUUAUAGGUUUCAUAUCUAGAAGUUUGAUUUGGAUCUUUUUUUAAAAUGUAUUUUAUGUCCCUGCUUAACAUAGUCUUUCCUUUGAAUUCUCACAUUGAAAUACAGUUACAGUUGUCUUAAUACCUUUGUCCACUAAUUAUGUCAUCUCUCUCAUUUAUUUCUUUUUUCUUUUUUCUUUUUUUAGGGCCACACCCACGAAAUAUGGAGGUUCCCAGGCUAGGGGUCUAAUCAGAGCUGUAGCUGCCGGUCUGCGCCACAGCCACAGCAACACCAGAUCUGAGCCACAUCUGCGACCUACACCAUAGUUCACAGCAAUGCCAGAUCCUUAACCCACUGAGCGAGACCGGGGAUCUAACCCACAACCUCAUGGCUCCUAGUUGGGUUCACUAACUGCUGAGCCAUGACGGGAACUCUGAUUCCUAUAAAUAUUUUCUUGAGUUUUGUUCUGGAACAUGAUGCAGUUCCUUACAAAUGGUUUGUUCAUUUCAAAUCUUGUUAGGUGGGAUCAGAGCAGCAUUUAGUUUAGGGCUAAUUAUUUCCCACUACUGAGCCAAAACUCUUCUGAGUACUCUAAUAGUUUGUUAAUUCUGAGGUUUUCCACUCUGUUGGGAAUCAGUCCUCUUCUUGGCCCUGUGUGAGCCUCAUGAAUUAUCCUUGUUAUUCUUUUUUUGUUGUUGUUGUUGUCUUUUUGCCAUUUUCUUGGGCCGUUUUCGUGGCAUAUGGAAGUUCCCAGGCUAGGGGUCGAAUUGGAGCUAUAGCCGCUGGCCUAUGCCAGAGCCACAGCAACGUGGGAUCCAAGCCACGUCUGUGACCAACACCACAGCUCACGGCAACGCCGGAUCCUUCACCCACUGAGCAAGGCCAGGGAUCGAACCCGCCACCUCAUGGUUCCUAGUCAGAUUCGUUUCCACUGCACCACAACGGGAACUCCAGUCCUUGUUAUUCUUUUGGGUAGUUCUCCCUCCCGCUUUGCUGUUGUUUUUUGUUUUUGUUUUUUGCUUUUUAGGGCCAAACCCACGGCAUAUGGAAGUUCCCAGGCUUGGGGUCCAAUUGGAGCUCUUGCUUCCACCUUACACCACAGCCACAGCAACACCAACGUGGGAUCUGAGCCUCGUCUUCCACCUACAGCAUAGCUCACUGCAAUGCCAGAUCCUUAACCCACUGAGGGAGGCCAGGGAUCGAACCUACGUCCUCAUGGAUACUAGUCAGAUUGCCCCCCACCCCCGUUGGAUGCCCCUCAUCACAUGGAGCUCCCAGGCCAAGGAUCAGAUCCGAGCCGAAGACCUAAGCACUAGCUGCGGCAAUGCCAGAUCCCCAACCCACUGUGCCGGGCUGGGGAUCAAACCAGUAUCCUGGUGCUCCCAAGACGCUGCUGGUCCUGUUGCACCACAGUGGGAACUCCUGGGUGGUUCUUCAUAUGGAAACCUCAAGUAUUUUCUUCACAGGCGUCUGCUGGCCAGUACUGUCCUGAGUACGCAAGGAGGAGAGCUCUGGACUCCUCUUUCUGUGCAGCUCUCUCUUUUGUGGAUAACCUGCCCUGCAGACUCGAGCUGCCUUGUCCGCCUUGGCCUCAACUUGUCUCUGAGUGUGGGGAGACUGCCUAACUUCCCCUGGAUUCCUUCUCCCUGUGCUGCCAGUUGGAAACCCUCCAAGCAGUAAACUGGGGUGGUUGUAGGAUUUGCUUCAUUCUUUCCUUGUUUCUCAGGGAUCACUCUACUUCGUAACUUUGUGUCUUAAAAACUAUUGCUUUGUAUAUUCCAGUUUUCAGUUGUUCACCAUGGUGGAGUAAAUCUGGUUCAUGUCAUCCCACCUGCCUAGAAGCAGAAGUGUAAACUUUUUUUAAAAAAGGGAAGUAGGUAAUUCUCAUUGUGGCUCAGCGGAAACGAUCCUGCCUAGUAUCCAUGAGGACACAGGUGCGAUCCCUGGCCCUGCUCAGUGGGUUAAGGAUAUGGUGUUGCCAUGAGCUGUGGUGUAGGUCUGGCAUUGCUAUGGCUGUGGUGUAGGCUGGGAGCUCCAGCUCAAAUUUGACCCCCAAGCCUGGAAACUUCCAUAUGCCACAGGUGUGGCCCCAAAAAGACAAAAAAAAAAAAAAA
rnacentral:lncRNA from 1 species